GAUGAACGCUGGCGGCGUGCCUAAUACAUGCAAGUCGAGCGAACGGACGAGAAGCUUGCUUCUCUGAUGUUAGCGGCGGACGGGUGAGUAACACGUGGAUAACCUACCUAUAAGACUGGGAUAACUUCGGGAAACCGUAGCUAAUACCGGAUAAUAUUUUGAACCGCAUGGUUCAAAAGUGAAAGACGGUCUUGCUGUCACUUAUAGAUGGAUCCGCGCUGCAUUAGCUAGUUGGUAAGGUAACGGCUUACCAAGGCAACGAUGCAUAGCCGACCUGAGAGGGUGAUCGGCCACACUGGAACUGAGACACGGUCCAGACUCCUACGGGAGGCAGCAGUAGGGAAUCUUCCGCAAUGGGCGAAAGCCUGACGGAGCAACGCCGCGUGAGUGAUGAAGGUCUUCGGAUCGUAAAACUCUGUUAUUAGGGAAGAACAUAUGUGUAAGUAACUGUGCACAUCUUGACGGUACCUAAUCAGAAAGCCACGGCUAACUACGUU
rnacentral:rRNA from 1 species